CCUGCCCCGACCCCCGCGGCCGCCCCCAUCCCCUUCCGGGUCCCCCGCGGUCUCCCCCGUCCGCUGCCCGGUCUCCUGGGGCCGCCCCUGCCUCCUGCCCGGUCCCUGUCCUGUGCGUCGGGCCCUUCCCAAGGUGCAGAGGGCGCCACUGCAGACCCGAGGUCGCGGCCACCGGCUCCUGGGCCAGGCCCUGUUUCUCGCCUCGAGCCGUCGGGGGAGGGUCUCCAGGGUGCUUGUUUGGGGAAAGCGGAAACAGACUGUCUGGGCCGCUGUUAAAAUGUCAGCAGCCAAGGAAGAAGCAGCGACCUGGCGUCUGCUCGGGCCAGGAUGAAGCCCCACCCGCUGUACAGGAUGCAAAGCCCUCCUCUAUAAAGUGCGUGCGGGGCCAGAUGCAGUGGCUCACGUCUGACCUCCCAACACUUUGGGAGGCCGAGGCAGGGGCAUCGUUUGAGACCAGCCUGGACAACAUUGUGAGACCCUGUUCCUUGAAUUGCCCUGGGAGAUUUCCUCAGCUUGUACUGGAGGUGUGUGGCCCCAUGAAGCCCAUAGUCACCGUUCACCCUGAGAGACGCUGGCUUUGGGGCUCACAUGCCUGCUGCGGGGCAGCCCCAGGAGAUGGCCACCCUGUUUCUCCUGGAGCUGGAGCUGCGCGUGUUCUCAGCAACUGUGGAUGAAGCCCCACCCGCCCUUCAGGAUGCCAGCCUUGGCAACAUUUGCUUGUAUUGUAGGUGAAACCGCACUGAGAAGGUAUUUGUGGCCCGUAUGCUGAUUGAUUGAUGAGACUUCUUUGCACAGGAGAGCUGCUAAAAAUUACUGCGGUGAACAGGUAUGAAGAAGACUGUUCUCUGCCCUUCUUUUUGCAAUAAAAUGUUACAAACUAUCUUGAGAUUGAUCCCUUUUCGGGUGUUUGGGUUUUUUUUAACAUUCACAUAUUUCUUGGAAUUAUAAGAAAUUAACUUUGUGCUUCUGAAGUGGGUUUCCCUUAAUAUAACACUGAUGUAUUUGUAAGGGGCAUUUUUAAAGUUGUACUUUAAAAAAUAAUAAUUCUUACAUUCGUUUGAAGGUUUUUUGUUUGUUUGUUUGUUUGUUUUUGAGAUGAAGG
rnacentral:lncRNA from 10 species